UACGUAGGGGGCUAGCGUUGUCCGGAAUCAUUGGGCGUAAAGCGCGUGUAGGCGGUCCGGUAAGUCCGCUGUGAAAGUCGGGGGCUCAACCCUCGAAUGCCGGUGGAUACUGUCGGGCUAGAGUUCGGAAGAGGCGAGUGGAAUUCCCGGUGUAGCGGUGAAAUGCGCAGAUAUCGGGAGGAACACCAAUGGCGAAGGCAGCUCGCUGGGACGUUACUGACGCUGAGACGCGAAAGCGUGGGGAGCAAACAGG
rnacentral:rRNA from 1 species